UACGUAGGGUGCGAGCAAUAAUCGGAAUUACUGGGCGUAAAGCGUGCGCAGGCGGUUUGGUAAGACAGAUGUGAAAUUCCCGGGCUUAACCUGGGAACUGCAUUUGUGACUGCCAGGCUAGAGUGCGGCAGAGGGGAGUGGAAUUCCGCGUGUAGCAGUGAAAUGCGUAGAUAUGCGGAGGAACACCGAUGGCGAAGGCACCUCCCUGGGCCUGCACUGACGCUCAUGCACGAAAGCGUGGGGAGCAAACAGG
rnacentral:rRNA from 1 species